rnacentral:lncRNA from 1 species
CUUCCUUUCUCCAUUCCAUGAACUUUUAUGUAAUGAACUGAAGUAAAUGAUAAUCAGUCUUUCAUUUAAACCUUUCAGAGUCUUAAAUGGCCUAGGUUGUUCUCCUAGUUUCAUCCAAUCAACUGAAGAAAAUUUUGAUGUCUUACUUUUUUUGCUAGGAGUCUGAUCCCAUUGAAUUAUUCUGUGGCUAAGUAAAACAUGAGAUGUGCUUCCAAGGUGGUGCAGGUGCAGCUCACUCAUGAAAGCCUGCCUUAAGUCUCUUCCACCUGUGGCAUGAGGGGCUCUGAUUUGCAUCUGUCUCCACAGUAACUGAAAGAAAAUUCUGAAAUAAGGCACUGAAUAGGGUGGGGGAAAUUCAAGUUUCCUAAUGGAGAAGAUAAGCAAGUACAAAGGAAACCCGAAUUCGUGUUUUAUGUCCAAUGGGGGUAUUCUGCAGCUCUUGAUUUGAAGCUAUUAUCUUGUUCCUUAACUACACAGAACAGGAAAUGCUUUUGGAAGAAAAAACACUUAAGCACUGGAUUAUACUGUGGGACAUCAGAUAGUUUUACAGUAUUUUUAUACCUUCUGCAGAAUCUAGCAGCAUUACCUUGGGGAAGCUGAGAUGACUGUAUAAAUUGAAACAGUAAGUCUACGGGAGGUCAUUUCUCUUUAGGAGUAUAACCAAGGGAGGUGCAGAAAAAAUUCUUGAACGGGUAACGUUUUGGGAGAUCACUUUAUAGUGACCUCCUGAUUUUUCUCUCUUAAGAAAUCGGUAUGUAGUAAAAAUAUUUCUUCCCAAACAGCCCAUUUCUCUUGGCUACAUUGCUCUUUGUUGUUUUGUUUCACUUUGUUUUGUUUUGAUUUGUUUUCUUUCCCAUGGGUGAGAUGGAGAGAACAAACUGUGGAGGAGAAAAUUAACAAUACUUAUUUUCAUAUGCUGUAAUUCAUGGAUGGCAAUGAAAAGUGGUGGAUAAGCACAGUUUUCACUGUUGUAGAGUAUGUACAUUCUACUCCUGUUAUCACCAUAGAUGUACAUGAAGAAAUAUGUUUGACACUUAGUUGAGUGUCAUAGCUGAGUCAGGCGAUCACUAGCUUGCUGCUCCUUUAUCAAAUAAACCAUGUAAGCUUUUCUUUAAUGGGCA